rnacentral:lncRNA from 1 species
CUUAUAAUUUAAUCUAAAAUGUUCUCAUUUCAUAUAUGUGGAUUUGAUUGUUAGAAUCAGAUUAAUGUUUUUUUUCUCUAUAAAAUGGGGAAACGACGAUUUGUGACACUAACUAGUUCACAUGCAUCAAGUAUGCAUUUCUGGUAAGUUUUCCGUCGAUAUAAAUAUGAAGUUUUAAGAACCUAUUCUAUGCAGUUAUAAAUAUUAUAACUUUGACUUGCCAUGAACAUAAUUCCAGAAGACUAUAGAGCCGACUUUGCCCCAUUCGCCUUCAUGAAGCUCACAGCCCUGAAUUUUCCCUGGAGUUGCUUUGGAGACAUGGUGUGGUCUCCCAGCAAACAUGUGAU